ensembl:miRNA MIR3913-1 microRNA 3913-1
UUGUUUAUAAUAAACUGAAAUAUUUGGGACUGAUCUUGAUGUCUGCCAAAACCUUGGCAGACAUCAAGAUCAGUCCCAAAUAUUUCAGUUUAUUAUAGACAG